GGUCAGUUUUUAAUUUUUUUUAUUCCAAUUCUGCCCUUCAAAGCCAAUUCUCUCUCUAUCUUCUUCUCCUCCUCCUCCACGCAGACACAGACCUCGAGAGAGAGAGAGUGUGAAUGGCGAAGAACAACGCGUCACUCCUAGCUCUAAAAUGUGUUCGUCCUCGACGCCUCGUUACGCCUUGUUCAGCGCGGCGGCGGCCGAGUAGGAGGAGAAAGGGGGAGGCUAGGUUAGGAUUUGAGUUUGGGGAGUUAUCUGCUCCAAAUCGGUGACAAUGGGGCCCAGGCUCGGCUCCGGCGACGUGUCCGGCUUCAAGUUCCUUCUCAGAGGCUCGACCCGUCGAGCACGUUCGAGUCCUGGCCAAUGUUAUCGAUAGCCGCCAUGUGAAUUCUUGGUGAAACUUGUUGUUCUUUGUCGGUUCAAUCUCAUUUUGAUGCCAUUUGAUAAAAUGCAGAAAAGUGAACAGUAAAGCUCAAUUGAGUUUCUGGCUGAGCAGAUUCUUAAUGAGGAGUUGCCGGGUGGAUCUUCUUGGACAUUGGAUGUGUUCACUGAAGCAUUUGUUGGAAAGUUGAAGUCAUAUCCUUUGAGUUAGCUUGUGGAUCUUCUUUUUGAUUCCUAGCUUCACCAUAGUGAUCUCUGCCUGAGGCCUUACUAGAGUGAUCCCUUGGUUUUCAUGGCGGUUGUGAUUGUUAUGCAGUCAUCUGCCGCUGUGCUGGAUAGGCAAUGCUUGCAAAUGAUAAAGCAACUUGCUAGAAU